rnacentral:rRNA from 1 species
AACGAACGCUGGCGGCAUGCCUAACACAUGCAAGUCGAACGAGACCUUCGGGUCUAGUGGCGCACGGGUGCGUAACGCGUGGGAACCUGCCCUUAGGUUCGGAAUAACUCCCCGAAAGGGGUGCUAAUACCGGAUAAUGUCUUCGGACCAAAGAUUUAUCGCCUUUGGAUGGGCCCGCGUUGGAUUAGCUAGUUGGUAGGGUAAAAGCCUACCAAGGCGACGAUCCAUAGCUGGUCUGAGAGGAUGAUCAGCCACACUGGGACUGAGACACGGCCCAGACUCCUACGGGAGGCAGCAGUGGGGAAUAUUGGACAAUGGGCGAAAGCCUGAACAAGCAAUGCCGCGUGAGUGAUGAAGGCAUUAGGGUAGUAAAGCUCUUUUACCCGGGAUGAUAAUGACAGUACCGGGAGAAUAAGCACCGGCUAACUACGUG